rnacentral:rRNA from 1 species
GACGAACGCUGGCGGCGUGCUUAACACAUGCAAGUCGAACGAAAAUACCAAGCUUUCUUGGUUGAUUCGUGGCGAACUGGUGAGUAACACGUGAGUAACCUGCCCCUUACUUUCCUGGAUAACUUCUCGAAAGGGUAGCUAAUACGGGAUAUUCUGACCAGCCUGCUUGGGUUGGUUUGGAAAGGUUGUUUUUCUGGUAAGGGAUGGGCUCGCGGCCGAUGAGCUUGUUGGUGGGGUGAUGGCCUACCAAGGCUUUGACGGGUAGCCGGCCUGAGUGGGUGGACGGUCACACUGGGACUGAGAUAAGGCCCAGACUCAUACGGGAGGGAGCAGUGGGGAAUAUUGCAGAAUGGGCGCAAGCCUGAUGCAGCGACGCCGCGUGAGGGAUGAAGGCGUUCGGGUUGUAAACCUCUUUCGUCAGGGAAGAAGGCACUGCUUUUUUGGUGGUGUUGAGGGUACCUGGAUAAGAAGCGCCGGCUAACUACGUG